rnacentral:rRNA from 1 species
UACGUAGGGAGCAAGCGUUAUCCGGAAUUAUUGGGUGUAAAGGGUGCGUAGACGGGAACUUAAGUUGGUUGUGAAAUCCCUCGGCUUAACUGAGGAACUGCAACCAAAACUGGGAUUCUUGAGUGCAGGAGAGGAAAGCGGAAUUCCUAGUGUAGCGGUGAAAUGCGUAGAUAUUAGGAGGAACACCAUUGGCGAAGGCGGCUUUCUGGACUGUAACUGACGUUGAGGCACGAAAGUGUGGGGAGCAAAC